rnacentral:misc_RNA from 1 species
UCUCCGUAGGUGAACCUGCGGAGGGAUCAUUACAGAGUUCGUGCCCUCGCGGGUAGAUCUCCCACCCUGUGUUAUUGCUACCUUUGUUGCUUUGGUGGGCCGCCCCCGGCUACCGGCCCCGGCUGGUACGCGCCCGCCAGAGGACCCCAAACCCUGAACGUCAGUGUCGUCUGAGUACUAUACAAUAGUUAAAACUUUCAACAACGGAUCUCUUGGUUCUG